AGCCCAAACCAUCCAUGUUACGGCAUGGGUGGGGUUGUAGGACUACGCCGUUGCAUGAAGACAUCAGAGAAGAACUUUCUGGAAAGAAAGACCAUAGAGCAUGACAGUUGCGUAUUCGAAUGUUGUCUAAGCAUAGUAGUAUCCUGAGUAGCGCGGAGCACGAGGAAUUCUGCGUGAAUCUGCCGGGACCAUCCGGUAAGGCUAAAUACUCCCGAGAGACCGAUAGCGAACCAGUACCGUGAGGGAAAGGUGAAAAGCACUUCGAACAGAAGAGUGAAAUAGUUCCUGAAACCGUGCGCCUACAAGCGGUCGGAGCUCGUUAAUGAGUGACGGCGUGCCUUUUGCAUAAUGAACCUACGAGUUGCCUUUGCCGGCAAGGUUAAGUGUGACGACACACGUAUCCGAAGCGAAAGCGAGUCUGAACAGGGCGUAUAGUCGGCAGUGGCAGACGCGAAACCAAGUGAUCUACCCUUGGCCAGGUUGAAGGCUGGGUAACACCAGCUGGAGGACCGCACCAAUAAGCGUUGAAAAGCUUCUGGAUGAGCUGAGGGUAGGGGUGAAAGGCUAAUCAAACUUGGAGAUAGCUCGUACUCCCCGAAAUGCAUUUAGGUGCAGCCUUGCGGGUUACUGAUGUGAGGUAGAGCGACUGAUAAGAUGCGAGGGCUUCACCGCCUAUCAAGUCUUGACAAACUCCGAAUGCGCAUCAGUUCUACCGCAGGAGUGAGGGCAUGGGUGCUAAGGUCCGUGCCCGAGAGGAGAAGAAUCCGGACCACCUGCUAAGGUCCCGAAAUGACAGCUAAGUUAAACUAACGAAGUCUGACUGCUAAGACAGCUAGGAUGUUGGCUUGGAAGCAGCCAUUCAUUUAAAGAGUGCGUAACAGCUCACUAGUCGAGGAGUCGGGCGUGGAUAAUAAUCGGGUAUUAAGUUGUCUACCGAAGCAGUGGGAUCAUUAAUAUGAUCGGUAGGGGAGCAUUCCAGUCAGCGUCGAAGGCGUACCGUGAGGUAUUCUGGAGCGUCUGGAAAAGCAAAUGUAGGUAUAAGUAACGAUAAAGGGGGCGGGAAACCCCCUCGCCGAAAGACUAAGGUUUCCUGAUCAACGCUAAUCGGAUCAGGGUCAGUCGGGUCCUAAGGCUCAGCCGAACGGCGAUGCCGAUGGCAGAAACGGUUAAUAUUCCGUUACUACCUUCAGGAGUGACGUGGAGACGCAGUAGUGACAGUGCCGCCAUCUGACGGAAUAGAUGGUUGAAGGGUGUAGGAGUCGAUCAUGGCAGGCAAAUCCACCAUGAGAUCCGAACCUGACAGUAUGCCGCGUCCUUCGGGACAAGGCAAUAGUGCGCGUAAGCAUGCUGCCGAGAAAAUCCGCUAAACUUAAUCCUGCAGGUACCCGUACCGCAAACGGACACACGUAGUCGGGAUGAAUAUUCUAAGGCGCUUGAGUGAUUCACGGUUAAGGAACUAGGCAAACUGACCCUGUAACUUCGGGAUAAAGGGUCCCUACCCUUUUAUGGGAGGGCGCAGAGAAUCGGUCCAGGCAACUGUUUAACAAAAACACAGGGCUGUGCCAAAUCGAAAGAUCCAGUAUACAGCCUGACACCUGCCCGGUGCUGGAAGGUUAAGAGGAGAUGUCAUCGAUAAGAGAAGCGUUGAAUUGAAGCCCCAGUAAACGGCGGCCGUAACUAUAACGGUCCUAAGGUAGCGAAAUUCCUUGUCGGGUAAGUUCCGACCUGCACGAAUGGUGUAAUGAUCUGGACGCUGUCUCAACCGUGAGCUCAGUGAAAUUGUAGUAUCGGUGAAGAUGCCGAUUACCCGCGAUGGGACGAAAAGACCCCGUGAACCUUUACUAUAGCUUAUCAUUGAAUCUGGGCACGUGAUGUGUAGGAUAGGUCGGAGGCUUUGAAGCAGGUACGCCAGUAUUUGUGGAGCCGCUGUUGAAAUACGACCCUUUAUUUGUUUGGAUUCUAACCCGUGGAACGGGGACAUUGAUUGGUGGGUAGUUUGACUGGGGUGGUCGCCUCCAAAAGCGUAACGGAGGCUUCUAAAGGUGCCCUCCGGCCGAUUGGUAACCGGCCUUAGAGUGUAAUGGCAUAAGGGCGCUUGACUGGGAGACU
rnacentral:rRNA from 1 species